rnacentral:rRNA from 1 species
UCUGAGCUGCAGUAGAGNAUAUUAUGCAAUAUACAAAAGUAUGACAUAAAGCACAAACAUAANGCCUGUCAAAUUNAAGUGCCAGCAGUCGCGGUUAAACUUAAGAAUUAGGCAAAGUCUUUGUUGUAAAGGCGUAGAGCGUGUGUAUGCACAUAUAANNNNAUCGUUGAUAUAUUUAAGUCAAAAGGAACAAAAGAUAAAAGUAUUGAUAUAUAUCACUUGUUUACUGGAUGAAUNNAUAUUUAUCGCGGCUAUGUUAUAUAUCAAUUCAACCCAUUUUGGCUAUAUUACAUAGGCACAAUAAAAAUGAAAAAUAAAAUUUGGUUGUAGCGGUUGAAUGCGAAAAUAAAUACAAGAAUUAAAAAUUAAUUAAAUUUUUCAUNACGGCAACCAGCUGAAACACUAAAGUGUGGAUAGUAAAUGGGGUUUGUGACCCAGUAGCCCAUGCUGUAAACAAUGAAGCUAGGUNAGAAUUACCUGUUUAAUAUAAGUUUCGCCUGAGUAGUACGAUCGCAAGAUUAAAAUUCAAAAAAUUUGACUGUUCCCUAUUUUAUUAGAGGAGCGUGUGGUUUAAUUCGAUGGUCCGCGAAAUACCUUACCUCAUUUUGAAUCGAGGCAAGCCGACAAGUAUUGCAUGGCCGUCGUCAGUCGGUGUGUNNNNUAAACAAUUUAUCAACAGACCAAACCCACAUAUUNGUGGACGAAGUCAGGUAUUAUGGUCUUUAUAGUGGGGGAUACCAUUCGCUACAUUUUCUGUGACAAAGUAAAUAGAACAAGAGUUCGGAAGUAAUUUGAAUAAGANNUUAUGGAAGCGGAAUUUAAUAGUAAUCAGAAAGUAGAGCGUUCUGGUGNAACUGUUUAGUGUUAGUACAAAUUGCCCGUCACCUUUGCUUAAU